GGUCAAGCUACAAAGGGUCUAUGUAUGGAUGACUUGGCUAGGUAGUGCGAAGAAGGACGGGGUAAGCACCGAUAUGCUCCGGGGAGUCGCAAACAGGCUUUGAUCCGGAGAUUUCCGAAUGGGGAAACCUACUCCAACUAAUAUUGGAGUCUCUAUUGCUGAAUUCAUAGGCAGUAGAGGCAAUACUAGGGGAACUGAAACAUCUCAGUACCCUAAGGAAAAGAAAUCGAAUGAGAUUCCCCCAGUAGUGGCGAGCGAAAAGGGAAAAGCCUAAACCCUGUGCUGUAUAGCACAGGGGGUUGCGGGAUUCCACCAUAAAGGUAGAUGGAGGAAUAGCAGAAGUAUCUGGAAAGAUACGCCCAAGAAGGUGAAAGCCCUGUAUGCGAAAUUCCAAAAUCGCCUAAGGAAGUUCCCAAGUACUACGGGACACGGGAAAUCCUGUAGGAAUCUGGGCCGCCCAAGGUCCAAGGCUAAAUACUCACCUAGACCGAUAGUGGACAAGUACCGUGAGGGAAAGUUGAAAAGAACCCCGGUGAGGGGAGUGAAAUAGAACCUGAAAUCAUAGACCUACAAGCGGUAGGAGGGCUAUGAGCCGAAUUUUCGGCUAAUGCCUGACUGCGUACCUUUUGCAUAAUGGACCGACGAGUUAUUCUUGUAAGCGAGUCUAAGGCCAAAAUGGCUGAAGGCGUAGGGAAACCAAGUCCUAAAGGGGCGCUUUAGCUUGCAGGAAUAGACCCGAAACCAGGUGAUCUACCCAUGGCCAAGGGGAAGUUCGCCGAAAGGCGGAUGGACGUCUGAACCCGUCACUGUUGAAAAAGUGUGGGAUGAGUUGUGGGUAGGAGUGAAAGGCUAAACAAACCUGGAAAUAGCUGGUUCUCCCCGAAAUAUCUCUAGGGAUAGCCUCGGGUUAACUACGUAGAAGGGGUAGAGUGCUGAAUGGGUUACGGGUCCUUACCAGGAUGCUGAACCCAACCAAACUUCGAAUACUUCUACGUUUAUCCAGGGAGUAAGACUUUGGGGGAUAAGCUCCAUAGUCAAAAGGGAAUCAGCCCAGACCACCAGCUAAGGUCCCUAAAUAUAGGCUAAGUGGUGAAGGAUGUAGAGUUACUAAGACAACCAGGAUGUUGGCUUAGAGGCAGCCAUCAUUUAAAGAGUGCGUAACAGCUCACUGGUCGAGUAAUUCUGCGCCGAAGAUUCACGGGGCUUAAGCCUAUUACCGAAGCUGUGGUUCGCCAAAGUUUCUUUGGCGGAGGUAGGGGAGCGUUCUGCAUUGCGCUGAAGGUAGACCGUGAGGACUACUGGAGUAGGCAGAAGUGAUUAUGUCGGUAUGAGUAGCGAAAAUGCCGGCGAGAAACCGGCAGGCCGAAAGUCUAAGGUUUCCUGGGGAAGGUUAAUCCGCCCAGGGUUAGUCGAGCCUAAGCCGAGGCUGUAAAUCGCGUAGGUGAUGGAGAUGCCGUUAAUAUUCGGCAACCAGCUAAAUAACGUUUUUACCUAAACCGAUGACGCACUGAGGUUAGCACGGCAGAGGAAUGGAGGUCUCUGUUUCUUUCGGAGUAAUCCAAAAGAGGGAUCUGGCGGUUUCCAAAGGAGAAGUGUGCUGAAUCUUGGUGCCAAGAAAAAUCUGUUUAGGGAGUUAUUUAGCUGUUCGUACCGGAAUCCGACACAGGUAGACCACCAGAAAAUGGUAAGGCCCUCGAGAUAACCCUCGUUAAGGAACUCGGCAAAAUAGCCCCGUAACUUCGGAAGAAGGGGUGCCCUGAUAUUUGUAGUUUCAUAAACGAAGGAUAUCAGGGUCUCAGUAAAGUGGCCCGGGUGACUGUUUAGUAAAAACACAGCACUCUGCAAACUCGAAAGAGGAAGUAUAGGGUGUGAAACCUGCCCGGUGCUGGAAGGUGAAGGGGAGGAGUUAUUUCGAAAUUUCGGAAGAAGCUCUGAACCGAAGCCCCAGUAAACGGCGGCCGUAACUAUAACGGUCCUAAGGUAGCGAAAUUCCUUGUGGGGUAAGUUCCCACGCGCACGAAUGGUCUAACAACUUGGGCGCUGUCUCAACGAGGGACUC
rnacentral:rRNA from 1 species